GAGGGAAAGCAGGCCAACCUCGAGGAUCUCCCCAGCCUUGGCGUUCAGGUGCUGAGGAGAUCGUCGAGGUUGGCCUGCUUCCCCUC
ensembl:miRNA MIR3150B microRNA 3150b